rnacentral:rRNA from 1 species
AUACGUAGGUGGCAAGCGUUAUCCGGAAUCAUUGGGCGUAAAGAGUGAGCAGGCGGUUAAUUAAGUCUGAGGUUAAAGCCUGGGGCUCAACCCCAUAAAGCCUUGGAAACUGAUUGACUCGAGCAAGGGAGAAGUGAAGGGAACUCCAUGUGUAGCGGUGAAAUGCGUAGAUAUAUGGAAGAACACCAGUGGCGAAGGCGGUUCACUAGCCCGAAACUGACGCUCAGUCACGAAAGCGUGGGUAGCAAAUAGGAUUAGAGACCCUAGUAGUCCACGCUGUAAACGAUGACAACUAAAUAUUGCCGCGAGGCAGUGUGGAAGCUAACGCAUUAAGUUGUCCGCCUGGGGAGUACGGUCGCAAGACUGAAACUCAAAGGAAUUGACGGGG